GACGAACGCUGGCGGCGUGCUUAACACAUGCAAGUCGAACGGUGAAGCGCCUUCCUUUUUGGUGGGUGUGGAUGAGUGGCGAACGGGUGAGUAACACGUGAGUAACCUGCCCCCUUCUUCUGGAUAACCGCAUGAAAGUGUGGCUAAUACGGGAUAUUCUGGGUCUGUCGCAUGAUGGGUCUGGGAAAGAUAUUGUUUCGGUGGGGGAUGGGCUCGCGGCCUAUCAGCUUGUUGGUGGGGUGAUGGCCUACCAAGGCGGUGACGGGUAGCCGGCCUGGGAGGGUGGACGGUCACACUGGGACUGAGACACGGCCCAGACUCCUACGGUAGGCAGCAGUGGGGAAUAUUGCACAAUGGGCGCAAGCCUGAUGCAGCGACGCCGCGUGAGGGAUGGAGGCCUUCGGGUUGUGAACCUCUUUCGCCAGUGAAGCAGGCCUGCCUCGUUUGUGGGUGGGUUGACGGUAGCUGGAUAAGAAGCGCCGGCUAACUACGUG
rnacentral:rRNA from 1 species